rnacentral:rRNA from 1 species
UGGGGAAUAUUGCACAAUGGAGGGAACUCUGAUGCAGCGACGCCGCGUGAACGAAGAAGGCUUUCGAGUCGUAAAGUUCUUUUAUAUGGGAAGAUAAUGACGGUACCAUAAGAAAAAGCCCCGGCUAACUACGUGCCAGCAGCCGCGGUAAUACGUAGGGGGCUAGCGUUGUCCGGAAUCACUGGGCGUAAGGGGUUCGCAGGCGGAAAUGCAAGUCAGGUGUAAAAGGCAGUAGCUUAACUACUGUAAGCAUUUGAAACUGCAUAUCUUGAGAAGAGUAGAGGUAAGUGGAAUUUUUAGUGUAGCGGUGAAAUGCGUAGAUAUUAAAAAGAAUACCGGUGGCGAAGGCGACUUACUGGGCUCAUUCUGACGCUGAGGAACGAAAGCGUGGGUAGCAAACAGG